CAAUAGCGUAUAUUAAAGUUGUUGCGGUUAAAAGCUCGUAGUUGGAUUUCUGUUGAGGACGUCCGGUCCGCACUUUGUGCGUGUAUCUGGUUCGGCCUUGACAUCCUCUUGGAGAUUGUGGCUGCGCUUGAUUGCGUGGUCCGGGAUUCAAGACUUUUACUUUGAGGAAAUUAGAGUGUUCACGGCAGGCAAACGCCUUGAAUACAUUAGCAUGGAAUAAUAAUAUAGGACCUUGGUUCUAUUUUGUUGGUUUCUAGAACUAAGGUAAUGAUUAAUAGGGAUAAUUGGGGGCAUUUGUAUUAACACGUCAGAGGUGAAAUUCUUGGAUUGUGUUACGACAAACUACUGCGAAAGCAUUUGCCAAGGAUGUUUUCAUUGAUCAAGAACGAAAGUAAGGGGAUCGAAGACGAUUAGAUACCGU
rnacentral:rRNA from 1 species